rnacentral:rRNA from 1 species
CCCCUAGAUGUUCUGGGCCGCACGCGCGCUACACUGAACAGAUCAACAAGUCUUAACCUUGGCCGAUAGGUCUGGGUAAUCUUUGAACGCUGUUCGUGAUUGGGAUAGACCUUUGCAAUUAUGGGUCUUCAACGAGGAAUUCCUAGUAAACGCAAGUCAUCAGCUUGCAUUGAUUACGUCCCUGCCCUUUGUACACACCGCCCGUCGCACCUACCGAUUGAAUGGUCCGGUGAAAUCUCGGGACGGCGGCUUGGUCGCUUGCGUCCGACUGCUGAAACUUGAUUAAACCAUAUCAUUUAGAGGAAGGUGAANUCGUAACA